rfam:Picea glauca, whole genome shotgun sequence.
UAAAACAUAACGUUAAUGCACCAAAUCCCAUUAGAAUUUCGUACUUAAGCACGCUCAGGCUAGAGUAGUACUUGGAUGGGUGACUUCCUGGGAAGUCCUAGUGUUUUAC